UACGUAGGGUGCAAGCGUUUGUCCGGAAUUAUUGGGCGUAAAGAGCUCGUAGGUGGCCUGUCGCGUCGGCUGUGAAAACUCGGGGCUCAACUCCGAGCUUGCAGUCGAUACGGGCAGGCUAGAGUUCGGCAGGGGAGACUGGAAUUCCUGGUGUAGCGGUGAAAUGCGCAGAUAUCAGGAGGAACACCAAUGGCGAAGGCAGCUCGCUGGGACGGUACUGACGCUGAGGCGCGAAAGCGUGGGGAGCAAACAGG
rnacentral:rRNA from 1 species